rnacentral:rRNA from 1 species
UACGGAGGGUGCAAGCGUUAUCCGGAUUCACUGGGUUUAAAGGGAGCGUAGGUGGCUUUGUAAGUCAGUGGUGAAAUGCCGCAGCUCAACUGCGGAACUGCCAUUGAUACUGCUUAGCUUGAAUCACGUCGAGGUGGAUGGAAUAAUACAUGUAGCGGUGAAAUGCUUAGAUAUGUAUUAGAACACCGAUUGCGAAGGCAGUUCACUAGGCGUGUAUUGACACUGAGGCUCGAAAGCGUGGGGAUCAAACAGG